GUGCGCUUCAGCAGCACAUACACUAAAACUGGAACAUUACAGAAGGUUAACACGGUCUCUAAACAAGGGUGACAUGCAGAUUCAUGAAGUGCUCCAUAUUGGG